GGUUCUUGCCCACUGAGGGCUUAUGUUCCGAACAAUGAAAAAGGCCCGGGGAGCGAUCCCCGGGCCUUUGAAUUUUCCGUU
rnacentral:misc_RNA from 1 species